AUUGUGAAAGGUGCUGGCAUGGUUCUGAAGGCGAUAAUCGAGGAAGCUGAUGAAGAAACCGCGGCAAAAAUACAAGUUCUGGCGCUUGCCGAGGGCGCUCUGCCAAAACGCUUACGCAUGGCCAUGUUUACGCAAAGCACUGAUAGACGUUCGCUAUUGAACAGCCACCAGAGACUGAAGAAGAUC